rnacentral:rRNA from 1 species
AUGAUUAGCUUGAGGAGAAGAGAUGAUGGAAACUAUGAGGUCCUCCGAUUCGUCUGUCAGCACACGCAUCAACUUGUCUCUACGAAUAAGAAACAAUUCACUAGAACUAACAGGGAGGUCAGUAGUGAAUUGAGGCGCACAUUCUUGACAUGUCACAAAGCAUUGAUGGGACCUUGCCAAAAAAAUUGGCGUGCACUAAUUGGGACCAAGAGAGGUACCUAG